GGCCACGCCCCCAUUUGAAGCCACGCCCAUAUAUUUUGCCGGGGGCGCCACUAAGCUAAGAACCGGCCCUGUUUUAGUUGCCCACAGACACCGUGACCUUCGCCGUUACUCCGAAACACGCCCAAAUGCUUCAAGUGCACACAUCUGAUCACAUGACUGUUACGUCAUCCCUUGGAUCUGAUAUUUGUAGUCCCUCCCCUGCACGUUCUCAGCGUCCUCCAGGAGUGCGGGCGGACUACAUCUCCCGGCAUGCCUUUGGCUGAGCCCUCUCCCGGGAAGUGCUGCUGCGGCUGCAGGCAAUGUAUACCUAAUAGUAAUGGCACACGUUGACUGUGUGGGGCAAAGACUUUACAAUGGAUCACCUGAGACAAUCCGAUUCUUCUAAGAAGAAAGAAUCAAUAAAAAAGGCCAGUGGCACUUCUGCCGAUAUAACCAAAGGGAAAUUAAAUGAUAAAAAGCAGCAGAAAUUGGGCGUCAAACGUGGAACCUGCGUACUUAAGGAUGCUGGAGACUACUUGCUUCAAGCAGAAAAAUACAUCCGGGAAAAGAAGAAGUAUAAAUGUAAGGAAUGUGGGCAACUGCUUUCUCAUGGCUCUCAUGUAGAGGAACAUCGGAGAACCCACUCACGAGAGACUCUCUUUACCUGCUAUGAGUGUGGGAAAAAGUUCUCCAAAAGGUUCAACCUGGAGAAACACCAAGAGACCCAUUCAGAUCGUUGCCACCACACUGUGACAUCGAAGAGGUUGGCUUAGAAAUAUCACCAGUAAGGGCAUAAUCCUCGCCAGGAGAUGCAGGCUGCCUGACAUUACGUGGUGGUGGUUUUAAAAUGCCUGUCACUAAAGGUCCAUACACACUUAACGAUAAAAUGAGUGACGUCGCUCAUUUUCCCCCUCCUUGAGCGACGUCGCUCAUUUUAUCGUUGCGUGUGUAUGCCGCCAGCGACGACCGAUGCGCGGCCCCGCGGGUCGGCAACGAUUGUCGCUGUCGGUAGGGCAUGCAUGAAGGAUGUGGACUGUCGUCCACGACCUUCAUGCAGGGCUGGCGGGGGCGUGACGUCACUGAGCGAUAUGAGCGGUCAUAUCGCUCAGUGCGUACAGGCGGCCGCCGUCCGGCCGGCGCGGGAGGGGGAAACGUUAGACGAUGUCGCUCACAGAGCGACAUCGUCUAAUGUGUAUGGGCCUUUAGAGUAACAUUUUGUUGGGAGUUCAUCUUAAAAUGUUUUGUUUAAAAGUCCUUUUAGAAAAAUGUACUAGACUCUAUUUAAAACAAACAAAUCUUGAACCUAUACUGCUGAUGACAUAGGAUGGUGCUGUUUCAUUGUAUUGGUACAUUGUUUAAGGAAGAAAAAAAGUGGAAUUUAGAUGUCAGCGUUACUUUUGAUUAUUUUUUGUAGUUGAAAAGAUUGAAAAAUAAAAUGCAAAACAAACAAAA